rnacentral:tRNA from 3 species
GGGUAGGUAUGCAAGUGGUUAAAGUAGGCAGACUGUAAAUCUGUUGGCGAAAGCCUUCGAAAGUCCGAAUCUUUCCCUGCCCA